UCGUUUUAGUGAUAAUGAUUUUGUAUUUUGUAGGAAUUUUGAUUUGAGAAUCGCAAAUUUAGUGAAAAGUAAUUUACCGUGAGAAAUUUUCUUGUUAUAUUUUGUUUAACUUGAAAACCACGAAGGCGAAUUCGACAAAUUUUAUUACUUGGAUGAUUUUUUACUUUUUUGCUUGCAACACGUUCAUUUUGAAAACUUGAUUUUAUUGAUAUAAUUUUCAUUUAUAACUAACUCACUCAAGUCGAAUAAAUUAUAACAUCUUGGGUAAUAUAACUUUGAAUUUAUAAUACCGGGUACCAUCUAAAAAUUGUGGGCUUGAUUUUUACGAGGGGGAAAAUUUUAGUGGCUGACAGAUUUAAGAAGUGUUGGUGCGCGAUUCUACGCGAAAUUUUAACCCGUUAACGAAACGAAAGGUAAAUGUAGUGCACGUUCCAUAAUGCGGUUCGCCAAAAAGUAGUUGAUUGUUGGAUAAAUAACAAAAAAAAAAUUAUUUUCCAUUCUUCAUAACAAAUAUUUCACACUACAUAUUUUACGUUUCUACUUGGUACUGCUAGAUAAUUCAAUUCAUUUAAACGUACGUUGAAAUUUUCCAAUAUUUUAAAUCAAACAAAUUUUUCUCCAUCCAUUAUUCCAAAAUUUAUCCUGAGAAAUUGAUAUUUUUCCCAAAAAUUGAAUGUAAUACAAUUUCAAUAUGAUAUACGAGGUAUAUCCACAAAGAAAGUUCCAAUCAUAUGAUAGAAUUGCUCCAAUACACCUCAAAUUCACUUUGAUUGGAAAUAGUAGUACAUGGAUCCUUCUGAUCAAUAUAAAUGAUAAUUAGAUAAGUAAGUAACUUGAAGAUGUGAUUUCCAUUCAAAUGACUUUCUGAGUACUCCGUUGAGAUUUUCCUGAUCUUUGAGAACAAAUCUGUUGGGUUAAUGAGAUGAUUGUGUGAUGAAUGUCUUUGGAAUUUGAUCAAAAAUGAGGCAGGCAACCGCCGCGAUAUGGAAAAGUGAUUCGUAAUUUUCGGUAUCGAUUUCGGUGUGUCGCGAAUCAGUUUUAAGUGAUAGACAUCAUGGAAAUGGAAAAUGGAUAUGGAGACUUUCCUAUGUGGACAAAGUUAUGUGUUUGUGCGCGAUUCGACGCGAAAUUUUAACCCGUUAACGAAACCAAAAAUAUAUAGUGUGCGAAUCGAUAAAGUGGUUUGCCAAAAGGAAGGAAUAAAUAACAAAAAAACAUAUUUCUUCAAUUUUUAUAACAAAUAUGUAUUUCAAACUACAAAUAUGUGUUUCUAAAAUGGAAAUGCUGCUGCAUCAGGAAUAUAAAAAUAGAUGUAAAAUUCUAUUUUCUAUUAUCGUUUUUCUGUGUCACGUUUCUUUCCAAAACUUAACCUGUCUGAAAAAAAAAAUUUAUGUAAUAAAUUUUUUACAAAUUAAAUUUACAAAUAUAAAAAAAAUUAUAGAUAUCUGGAGAAUAAUAUUCGUAUGAAUUUGUCUUUUUAUGUUUGGUAUUUUCAGUUGAGUAAAUUGAAAGUAUGUGUGUGAUAAUUAUUGUAUCUUGUAUGCGUGUGCCGUUUUGCAAUCUUCAUAUCGAUGGCUACUUCAUUUGUUAUAAAUUUUCGUUUUUCUUUCCCAAACUGGACCUGAAAUUUAAAAAUAUAAAAUGUUGUAAACUUCCGAUAUGUGAAUUACUUUGAUAAUAAUUGUAUGAUAAAAUUAUUAUACACUAUUUUGUUCUUAUACGAAACUUACAUUUUUUUAAUAAUAAUUCGAUUUUCUGGCCAUUUUAUUUUAUAAUCGACUGUGAACAAUUUAAUCAAACGUUAAUUGUUUCUAAGUUAUAUCAACCCUUAAAAAAAGAAAACUGCAUCUGUUUCUUUUUUAAUUCUGAAUGUUUUCUGCUCAAGUUAGUUGAAUGUAUAUGUGUAAUAAUAUAUUUUGCAAAAUAAAAGAUUUUCUCAAGGGUUUAUUGAAUAUCGAUAGCUAUUUCAUUUGUUAUAAAUUUUCAUCAUUCCUACCCAUGUUCGACUUGAAAUUUGAAAAGAUAAAAUGCAAUAACUAUCUAAAGUAAACUUCGAAUCUUACUUAUAGACAAUUAAAUAAUAAAAUCAUCAUAUAUCGUUUUUUCUAA